GAAUGCUGACAUAAGUAACGAUAAAGCGGGUGAAAAGCCCGCUCGCCGGAAGACCAAGGGUUCCUGUCCAACGUUAAUCGGGGCAGGGUGAGUCGACCCCUAAGGCGAGGCCGAAAGGCGUAGUCGAUGGGAAACGGGUUAAUAUUCCCGUACUUGGUGUUACUGCGAAGGGGGGACGGAGAAGGCUAUGUUGGCCGGGCGACGGUAGUCCCGGUUUAAGCGUGUAGGCUGGUUUUCCAGGCAAAUCCGGAAAAUCAAGGCUGAGGCGUGAUGACGAGGCACCACGGUGCUGAAGCAACAAAUGCCCUGCUUCCAGGAAAAGCCUCUAAGCAUCAGGUAACAUCAAAUCGUACCCCAAACCGACACAGGUGGUCAGGUAGAGAAUACCAAGGCGCUUGAGAGAACUCGGGUGAAGGAACUAGGCAAAAUGGUGCCGUAACUUCGGGAGAAGGCACGCUGACACGUAGGUGAAGUGAUUUACUCAUGGAGCUGAAGUCAGUCGAAGAUACCAGCUGGCUGCAACUGUUUAUUAAAAACACAGCACUGUGCAAACACGAAAGUGGACGUAUACGGUGUGACGCCUGCCCGGUGCCGGAAGGUUAAUUGAUGGGGUCAGCGCAAGCGAAGCUCCUGAUCGAAGCCCCGGUAAACGGCGGCCGUAACUAUAACGGUCCUAAGGUAGCGAAAUUCCUUGUCGGGUAAGUUCCGACCUGCACGAAUGGCGUAAUGAUGGCCAGGCUGUCUCCACCCGAGACUCAGUGAAAUUGAACUCGCUGUGAAGAUGCAGUGUACCCGCGGCAAGACGGAAAGACCCCGUGAACCUUUACUAUAGCUUGACACUGAACAUUGAGCCUUGAUGUGUAGGAUAGGUGGGAGGCUUUGAAGCGUGGACGCCAGUCUGCGUGGAGCCGACCUUGAAAUACCACCCUUUAAUGUUUGAUGUUCUAACGUGGACCCGUGAUCCGGGUUGCGGACAGUGUCUGGUGGGUAGUUUGACUGGGGCGGUCUCCUCCUAAAGAGUAACGGAGGAGCACGAAGGUUGGCUAAUCCUGGUCGGACAUCAGGAGGUUAGUGCAAUGGCAUAAGCCAGCUUGACUGCGAGCGUGACGGCGCGAGCAGGUGCGAAAGCAGGUCAUAGUGAUCCGGUGGUUCUGAAUGGAAGGGCCAUCGCUCAACGGAUAAAAGGUACUCCGGGGAUAACAGGCUGAUACCGCCCAAGAGUUCAUAUCGACGGCGGUGUUUGGCACCUCGAUGUCGGCUCAUCACAUCCUGGGGCUGAAGUAGGUCCCAAGGGUAUGGCUGUUCGCCAUUUAAAGUGGUACGCGAGCUGGGUUUAGAACGUCGUGAGACAGUUCGGUCCCUAUCUGCCGUGGGCGCUGGAAGACUGAGGGGGGCUGCUCCUAGUACGAGAGGACCGGAGUGGACGCAUCACUGGUGUUCGGGUUGUCAUGCCAAUGGCACUGCCCGGUAGCUAAAUGCGGAAAAGAUAAGUGCUGAAAGCAUCUAAGCACGAAACUUGCCCCGAGAUGAGUCUUCCCUGAGACUUUGAGUCUCCUGAAGGAACGUUAAAGACGAUGACGUUGAUAGGCCGGGUGUGUAAGCGCAGCGAUGCGUUGAGCUAACCGGUACUAAUGAACCGUGAGGCUUAACCUUACAA
rnacentral:rRNA from 1 species